rnacentral:rRNA from 1 species
CCCUUAGAUGUCCUGGGCCGCACACGCGUUACACUGAUGCAUUCAACGAGCUUAUAACCUUGGCCGAGAGGCCUGGGCAAUCUUGUUAACGUGCAUCGUGAUAGGGAUAGAUUAUUGAAAUUAUUAAUCUUGAACGAGGAAUUCCUAGUAAACGCAGAUCAUCAAUCUGCAUUGAUUACGUCCCUGCCCUUUGUACACACCGCCCGUCGCACCUACCGAUUGGAUGGUCCGGUGAAGCCUCGGGAUUGUGGUUCUUGCCGCUUUAUUGUGGCGUGACCGCGAGAACUUGUCUAAACCUUAUCAUCUAGAGGAAGGUGAAGUCGUAACA